UGCAAAUGGUCCAGGAGCUUUGAGCCGGAAAAAAUAUGAGCUUUUCUCUUGGAGUUUACAAGAGAAAUUAACAGAAAGACGUCCCACUGCUAGUGUCCACAUUCAGGUGCCUAAUCCACCCCGAGGAGCAGCUACUAAAGCGAUGAGGUAGAAGACACCCUGCCAACUGAGACACUUCCUCCCUGGGGCAGAGCUUUGGCCAAUCAGGCCUUUCCCUGCUAAUGCUGUCCAGCCACAGGCAGGACAGUCAACUUACACUUACAUUAGGUUACGCUAUUUCAGGCAUUUGGCAGACGCUCUUAUCCGAAACAACUUACACAGCUUAUUUACAGAAGCAAUUCAGGUUAAGUGCCUUGCUCAAGGGUACAAUGGCCGUGCGCCACCUGGGAAUCGAAUUUACAACCUUUGAGCUGUAAGCCAAGUUCUCUAACGAAGAACCAGCGUCUCAGCAGAAAGCGAUGCCCACUUCUUUUUUUUUUUUUUUUUUACUUGGAGAGCUGCUUCACCUGAGUCGGUAAAGCACACCGUGUAAUAAUAAAACAUGAGUCAUUUUAGCAGCCCUGGGAAACUGCAAAAGAAAUUAAUACCAUUCUACAAUGAAACUGAAUACACUUUUUAAUUUUUUUA